rnacentral:sRNA from 1 species
GCUGGGUGUGGUGGUGCACGCCUGUAGUCCCAGCAACUUGGGAGGUUGAGACAGGAGGAGCCCAAGUUCAAAGCCAGACUCAGCAACUUAGCUGGAUCCUUAGCAACUUAGUGAGACCCUGUCUCAA